CACAAACUGAAGUUAGUCAUGGCGUUCCACAGGGCUCUGUGUUAGGUCCAAUUCUCUUCACUUUAUACAUGCUCCGUUUAGGCAAUAUUGCUAUGCAGAUAAUACUCAGUUAUAUUUAUUUAUGAAGCCAAAUGAAUCAGAUCAGCUGGUCAAACUUCAAGCAUGUCUUAAAGACAUAAAGGCCUGGAUGACCUGUAACUUCUUACUUCUAAACUGACAAAACUGAAGUCAUCUCUGAACAUAAUGCAGUCUAGUACACCACCACCUUUAACUAUGACCUCAGUAAUAAACAUAUAAUUGAACUUAUACAUUUAUGACAAUUUCACCAUAAACAUUUUGAGCUUCAUAAACACAGAUGUUAAGGCAGAAGUGUUCCAUUAAAUUGCAUACAGCUGUACCAAAGAAACUUUGUAUGUGUGUCACAGAGACAAUGUCUAAGCAGCAUGCAGUGAUCAAAACUUAAAUAUGCAGGUGUUUCUAGAAUGAAAUUCCUUCACAUGACAAUUGUACAAAAAAUAUAUAUUGAUUGGUCCCAAAAGACUACAGAGAUAUCACUUUAAAAAUGUUAAAGUAAUAGAUAAGAAUCCACCACUUGAGCUUCAAAAGUAAGCAAGGAAGGCCUUAAAAAAGGCAUGCAGUAUAAAAAAAAAUAAUAUCUUAUCAUUAUGGCCCACAAAACUACUUUUCAAGACAAAAACAUUGUUCAUCCAUCCAAUAACAUGUCAUGGCAGGAAAUGCAAAUGAUGCAA